rnacentral:tmRNA from 1 species
GGGGAUGCUUUGGUAUCGACAAGAUGAUACAGGUUCCGACUUUUGCAAUUUGGGCGUCGCGCUGUCCGCCCACAGAUCCGUCCAGCGCAAACUUAAGUGCUAAAAACACUGAUAUGCUUGCUAAGAAAUUCUUAGCAAGCAAUGGUUUCGCUGCAACUCCUGUUGCUGCCUAACUCAACCAUCUGAUUAAUUUCGGAUGUCGCACUUUUGCCCACUCCGUUAAGCAAAAAGUGUGUCAUUUAACGGAUUAGAGUCUAUUAAGUCCGUUUCACUUAACAGCUCGAAACUUUAACGAAACUCGCCGACAUGGAUUUUUGUUUUUCUUUCACCAUGGCGGUUAAACUUUAAGAAAAAACUAUAAUUGUAGACGAAGCGGCACCUCAUUUUGGACAGGGGUUCGAAUCCCCUCAUCUCCACCA